rnacentral:rRNA from 1 species
GACGAACGCUGGCGGCGUGCUUAACACAUGCAAGUCGAACGGAAAGGCCCAGCUUGCUGGGUGCUCGAGUGGCGAACGGGUGAGUAACACGUGGGUGAUCUGCCCCUAACUUCGGGAUAAGCUUGGGAAACUGGGUCUAAUACCGGAUAGGACAAUCGUUUAGUGUCGGUUGUGGAAAGUUUUUUCGGUUAGGGAUGAGCCCGCGCCCUAUCAGCUUGUUGGUGGGGUAAUGGCCUACCAAGGCGUCGACGGGUAGCCGGCCUGAGAGGGUGGACGGCCACAUUGGGACUGAGAUACGGCCCAGACUCCUACGGGAGGCAGCAGUGGGGAAUAUUGCACAAUGGGCGCAAGCCUGAUGCAGCGACGCCGCGUGGGGGAUGACGGCCUUCGGGUUGUAAACCUCUUUCGACAGGGACGAAGCUUUGGUGACGGUACCUGUAUAAGAAGCACCGGCUAACUACGUG